rnacentral:rRNA from 1 species
AACGAACGCUGGCGGCGUGCCUAACACAUGCAAGUCGAACGGAAUGAGGGGGCUUGCUCCUUCAUUUAGUGGCGCACGGGUGAGUAACGCGUAGAUAAUCUGCCUGAUGAUCUGGGAUAACAUCUCGAAAGGGGUGCUAAUACCGGAUAAGCCCACGGGGUCUUUGGACUCUGCGGGAAAAGGGGGGGACCUUCGGGCCUUCUGUCAUCAGAUGAGUCUGCGUACCAUUAGCUAGUUGGUAGGGUAAUGGCCUACCAAGGCGACGAUGGUUAGCUGGUCUGAGAGGAUGAUCAGCCACACUGGAACUGAGACACGGUCCAGACUCCUACGGGAGGCAGCAGUGGGGAAUUUUGCGCAAUGGGCGAAAGCCUGACGCAGCAACGCCGCGUGAGUGAUGAAGGCUUUCGGGUCGUAAAGCUCUGUCAAGGGGAAAGAAGUGUAUUGUGGUUAAUACCCGCGAUACUUGACGGUACCCCUAAAGGAAGCACCGGCUAACUCCGUGCCAGCAGCCGCGGUAAUACGGAGGGUGCAAGCGUUGUUCGGAUUUAUUGGGCGUAAAGCGCGUGUAGGCGGUUUACUAAGUCUGAUGUGAAAGCCCUGGGCUCAACCCAGGAAGUGCAUUGGAUACUGGUAGACUUGAAUACGGGAGAGGGCAGUGGAAUUCCUGGUGUAGGAGUGAAAUCCGUAGAUAUCAGGAGGAACACCGGUGGCGAAGGCGGCUGCCUGGACCGAUAUUGACGCUGAGACGCGAAAGCGUGGGUAGCAAACAGGAUUAGAUACCCUGGUAGUCCACGCCGUAAACGAUGAGUACUAGGUGUUGCGGGUAUUGACCCCUGCAGUGCCGCAGCUAACGCAUUAAGUACUCCGCCUGGGAAGUACGGUCGCAAGACUA